rnacentral:rRNA from 1 species
UACGUAGGUGACCAGCGUUGUCCGGAUUUACUGGGCGUAAAGAGCGCGCAGGCGGUCGUUCAAGUCGAGUGUGAAAGCCCCCGGCUCAACUGGGGAGGGUCACUCGAUACUGAUCGACUUGAAGGCAGGAGAGGGACGUGGAACUCCGGGAGUAGCGGUGAAAUGCGUAGAGACCCGGAGGAACACCAGUGGCGAAGGCGGCGUCCUGGCCUGCGACUGACGCUGUGGCGCGAAAGCUAGGGGAGCGAACGGG